CAGGACGAACGCUGGCGGCGUGCCUAAUACAUGCAAGUCGAACGGUCUUUCUAUGGAAGCUUGCUUCCACUGAGAAGAUAGUGGCGAACGGGUGAGUAACACGUGGGUAACCUGCCCAUAAGAGGGGGAUAACAUCCGGAAACGGGUGCUAAUACCGCAUAGUUUUCUUGAUCGCAUGAUCGGGAAAGGAAAGACGGCCUUUGUGCUGUCGCUUAUGGAUGGACCCGCGGCGUAUUAGUUAGUUGGUGAGGUAAUGGCUCACCAAGACGAUGAUACGUAGCCGACCUGAGAGGGUGAUCGGCCACAUUGGGACUGAGACACGGCCCAAACUCCUACGGGAGGCAGCAGUAGGGAAUCUUCCGCAAUGGACGAAAGUCUGACGGAGCAACGCCGCGUGAGUGAAGAAAAGGUUUUCGGAUCGUAAAACUCUGUUGUCAGAGAAGAACAAGUUGGAGAGUAACUGCUCCAGCCUUGACGGUAUCUGACCAGAAAGCCACGGCUAACUACGUGCCAGCAGCGGC
rnacentral:rRNA from 1 species